rnacentral:lncRNA from 1 species
AAACGGGCAGGAAGGAGGAUGCUGGGAGCUCCGUGGAGCAGGUGAGGGGCCACUCGCCUCCCAUGCAUUUGCGCCAUUCCCUUGCUCCACGAGGCCAGCACUAACAAGGGCCAUGUAUUGCAGAAAGAGCUCGUCACUCCGAGGAUAAGCCCACCCCGUGUGCCGCAGGAGCCCUACUUCACCUUCAUCCUCUGCCCAGCCCCUGAGAGCUCGUGAACCACAUGGGACCAAGGUUCUUUGGUCAUUUAACAAACAUGCAUCCAGUACCUGGCGUGACCCAAGCACUGAAGAAGCCAGGGUAUAGCUGGCACAAUCUGGGCGUGGCUGCCCCCUCCACGUGCUCUGCUCUGACGCUGAGCACCAACUGCAGCCCAGUCCAGGAGCUGGGAGGAAAAGGGGAGCUGCUGCAGGCGGCCCUCCCAAAUGGAGGCUUGGAAAGUGUCUCAGAGAUGAAAGCCAGCUGGCUCUAAGGCAAGGGCGUCGGGGAAGCAUUUUGAACAGAGAAAAUGGUGUGUGCAGAAGUCUAGGCCAGACAAGGCCUGGUGUGCCGUGGGGUGGGGUUGGAGGUGAGGGUGGCCGAAGGCAGCAAAAUUGAGUUCAAAUAUGGUGCGUGGAGAGGGAUGGAAACGGGACCUCCUAGACGCUACAGGGCCUGAUCUCCCAGGGAUUCCAGGGACUGGCAAGUCUGCCCCACCCCCGAGAACAUCAGGCUGACCCCACGAGGGCUGGUCUAGAAUUUUUAGUUAAGAGCCUGAGAAUCUCCCACCCACCGCAGGCAGAGAGCCACGCCCAGCCCAGAGACUAUCUGAAAACUCUGUGGCAGAGGCCUAGUGUUCCCCACCCAGCGGAGGAGUCUGAAGGUUAGCCAUCUGCCCAGCCAUGGGAGCAGACUCACUAGGGGAGGGGACAGGGAGCUCCCAACUCCAGUCGCCUCAGCGCGAGAAAGCGUGAGGACACGGCUCGGCUCGGGUUUCGAAGUUGAGAACAUCUGGGUUUCUCUUUACCCAGAUGGGAACCCUGAAAUGUUGGAAUUUCUUCUUCACAGCAGUUAGAAGACUUGAGCUCCCCGUAUCAGUUUCUUGCGCCUGGGAAAAUCUCCGUAGGAACAAUCAGAUAUUUUUGGACUUCAAGUGCCUUCAAAUUCCACGUUCAGACUCCACUCCCCGCGUUUGAUUUUUAAUUAGAACGUCCCACUCACCUGUCGAGCGCAAGGUGUUGGGCGGAAGACAUUCUUCAGAGGAGUCUGGGGACGGUGGGGAUAACAGUGUCCGUGUGGAACGGGGUGGCAUUUCCGCAGGUGCAUUUGGAGCUCACAGUUUUCUGAUUGACGGAAUCUGGAAAGUUGUGCUUUAGACACGUACAGAUUUGACUUCAUAGGCUUUGUUCACAUUUAAUAAGAUAUGAAGGUACCUGCUGUUGCUUUGAGGUAGAUAUGCAUACAAUUGUAUGCUGCAGAAAAAGUGAAAUAGAAGGUACAUCAAGUGUGGGGAGCUUUGGUGUCGGGUCAGUUGAUAAUGCCGUCCUACCCAGUGAAGGGUUGUUGUCCUGCUGACUCUGAAAGCCGGACUGAGCUUCUCUGAUUCAAGAAAAGGGAACACAGGAAACUUGAGGGUCUUGUGACAUUGAGGGGUUCUUAGCACACAUGCCUCUGUGUUUUUUUCUUCCCAUUUCUGCCAAGGUUCAAGAUGAUGUAUCACUCUGUGGGAGUUUUAAAAACUAAAUUUUAAAAAUGGCACCAUGCUGUAUUGUAUUGGUUUUACUGAACACGGUUUUAUUGACUCUGGUCAAAAAUAGAUGGGGAUUUUUUUUUCUUUAAUCUUGAUAAAUAG